rnacentral:rRNA from 1 species
GACGAACGCUGGCGGCAUGCCUAAUACAUGCAAGUCGAGCGAACAGAUGAAGUGCUUGCACUUCUGACGUUAGCGGCGAACGGGUGAGUAACACGUAAGGAAUCUACCUAUAAGCGGGGGAUAACAUUCGGAAACGGGUGCUAAUACCGCAUAAUAUCUUCUUCCGCAUGGAAGAAGAUUGAAAGACGGCUCUGCUGUCACUUAUAGAUGACCUUGCGGUGCAUUAGUUAGUUGGUGGGGUAACGGCCUACCAAGACGAUGAUGCAUAGCCGACCUGAGAGGGUGGUCGUCCACAUUGGGACUGAGACACGGCCCAAGCUCCUACGGGAGGCAGCAGUAGGGAAUCUUCCGCAAUGGGCGAAAGCCUGACGGAGCAAUGCCGCGUGAGUGAAGAAGGCCUUCGGGUCGUAAAACUCUGUUAUAAGAGAAGAACAAAUUGUAGAGUAACUGCUACAGUCUUGACGGUAUCUUAUCAGAAAGCCACGGCUAACUACGUGCCAGCCGCCGCGGUAA